rnacentral:rRNA from 1 species
UACGUAGGGUGCAAGCGUUAAUCGGAAUUACUGGGCGUAAAGCGUGCGCAGGCGGUUAUGCAAGACAGAUGUGAAAUCCCCGGGCUCAACCUGGGAACUGCAUUUGUGACUGCAUGGCUAGAGUACGGGUAGAGGGGGAUGGAAUUCCGCGUGUAGCAGUGAAAUGCGUAGAUAUGCGGAGGAACACCGAUGGCGAAGGCAAUCCCCUGGACCUGUACUGACGCUCAUGCACGAAAGCGUGGGGAGCAAACAGGG